CGAGAGUAGUACUAGGAUGGGUGACCUCCUGGGAAGUCCUCGUGUUGCAUUCC
rnacentral:rRNA from 1 species